ensembl:lncRNA
GGGCAAGGGGUAUCUGCCUCCGGUUGGGGUUUCAGCAACUCUCCUGCUUAAGGAACCUCAGCUUUGCACUACCUCCCUGGGUAACCCAGGGCCAGACAUUAUCCCUUCCGAGGCUGACUACAGUUUGGCCAGCUGGGUUCCUGGGGGCACAGGCUUCCAUGCAAGGGCCCUGGGGCUCCCUUGGAAGGCAAGAGGUAGCCGUGUAGGCAGGGACUAGGACUGUCAUCUCUGCUUUCACCUUGUAUCUGUCUUGUGCAUUGGAACUUUGUGUAAGACUUUAUAUGAAAAAGUCUUGGAUGUUUUAAAAGCCAUUUUUAAAUGUUUAAAAACCAUUGCAUUGGUUUUCAGCUGUAAGGGGGCUGUUCCGUUGUGGUUGUAGGGAAGGCUCGAAGGAGACCCUGGGCUCCAGACCUAGGGUUUCCAGGAAGAACUUGUGGGUUAGCAGUGAUUUCCUUGGUUGGAAAGCACAGAGGCAGCCCUCUGUAUCUCUGGAGGACGUGUGACUGCCGAGUUCGGGGACACGGCAGCUGGGAACCCGAUGUACUUAAAAGCAUUCAGAGACCACAUAGCAGUGAAUCGCUGAGUAUAAACAACCACUAAAUGCAUCUCCUCACUCGUUCCCAAGCGCAGCUGCUUACCACGAUACAACGUGCCGUUGCAGUUCGUAAACAGCCGAGGCAGGGCAUGGGAGGGCCUCCGAUUCGGCAUCCAUAGGAGCUGACUCCAAAGCCUCCGAUCCCAGGCAGCAGCUGCCCUUCUGCCUGGUUCUCGAGUUGCCCCUGCGGGAGGGACACAGAGCCAGGGCGUACAUCACAACGGCCCGUGGACCAGCCCCCAGAGGCCCGGAGUGGGCCGUGCAGCUGGGACUCCCCAGCUGCAGGCCCGCGAGCCUUGUAGUCGUCUAGCCUCGAGACCGAAGAAAGAGCCCGGAGACAGGGACAGGGACAUCCACGGUCCGUCGGACAGAAGACCUUACAUGUCCGAAGCCAGGUCUUGGAGCAACACACCACUGUCUGCGGCAGGCGGUGACUGCUACGGGGCCAUCAUCUUCACCACUGAGGGCGGGGCGAGGGAAUGCUAUCGCUUAUAGGGGGGAACUGACGUCAGCUAGGUUACCAGGGCAACCAGUCGCUUGGACACGUGCUGCUCACAGUCCCUCAGGUUAACGACCAUCUCGAGGGCAGGUGUUUCCUAUUAGUAAACUAGUAGGUGGAGCCUUUCGGGGCUAAGGAUUAGAACCCGCACUAGCUGGGGCAGGGGGCAGGCACAGGCUGGGGGACCGGAGAAGGUGCCGGUGAAGCAGGGGCGGGUUGAGCAGGGGAGGUACAGAGAACAGGAGAACCACCACCUUGAAUAGCCUGACCAUACACCCUAGGUUGUUUUUUUGUUCUCCCUCUGGGUGUUUAUUUUCCAGGUAAAAUAGGGUCAGUUGUGACUGUGAAAGCUUGGGUCUAUUGUUCAUUCGCUUAGAUGCGUCCAACUCUUUGUGACUCCAUGGAAUGCAGCAACCCAGGCUUCCCUGUCCAUUACUAUCUCCCGGAGCUUGCUCAAAUUCACGUCCAUUGAGUCGGUGAUGCCAUCCCACCAUCUCAUCCUCUGUCCUCCCCUUCUCCUCCUGCCUUCGAUCCUUCCCAGCAUCAGGGUCUUUUCGAGUGAGUCCGGUCUUCGCAUCAGGUGGCCAAAGUACUGGAGCUUCAGCAUCAGCAUCAGUCCUUCCAAUGAAUAUUCAGGGUUGAUUUCCUUGCAGUCCAAGGGACUCACAAGACUCUUCUCUAGUACCACAGUUUGAAAGCAUCAGUCUGCUUCUGUCCAAACACCCAGGGAUGACUCUGGGGGCCUCUUGAUCCACUCAGCACACUCCCUGACUUCUUAGCAAUGCCUCCUACCCCAGCAGGGUGCGGGUUGAGAUCUUUCUUGGGUUCAUCAAACAUCCCCAGCUCAUCUGCCCACUGAUCCGAGGGGCUAUCAUUUAUCCCAAAGCAUCACCGGGAGUUUCUGAUUUAUUGGUGACGGGUCAGCUGUGUUCUUUAGGCAGUUUAUGGCCGUGCCAUUAAAUUUUCAGAGAUUAAGAGCAUGAUGGGAAAGAUAAAUGUAGUGAUUCUGGGGAUCCUGGGAGACCAGUUCCUAGGAGAGGCCCCCAUACCCCUUCAUGCUCACAUCACGAGUCCCUUUUUGCUGCUUUCAUGAUGAAAGGCAUCCUGUGAGGAGGAGAUUUGCUCCCAGAACAGGAGGGCCAUUCCUGGAGUUAUAGGGUAGUCUCAUGCUAGAAUCAUGAAUAUCUGAAUCAGAGAAUCACAGAUGGUUAGAGCAAGAUGAGCUCUUAAACCCACGUAGUCCAGCCCUCUCAUUUUACUGAUGAAGAAGCUGAGGUCCCAGGUGGGG